GAUUACCUGUUUCUAUUUGAAUUUUUGCUAUUGCUAUUACAAUGAUAUUAUUAUAUUCAACUUGAUCCACUAGGAUGGGAAGUGGGCCAAUGACAAAUCACUAAGAGGCAUGGUCGUACGUGUUUUGUGUGGAUGAAUAAUGAUAUGGGGGUUUCUUGACAGCAGGACAAUUACUUUUGUUUUUAAUUUUUUUCCUUUUUAUUUUUAAAACAAUCGUAGAUUCAUAAUAGGAUCAAUACAAUUAGAGGUCAUAAUAUUAAUAUAUACGUGUUACCAGUUUCAUAAAUUUUCUACCAUUUUAUCUUGUUCCUGUUUUUAUUUAGAAAGUGAAAGUUAAGUAUUUUACGAACUAAUAAAUCAGCUUUCCGAACUGUCGUUUAAGCUGUUUAAUUUCAUGACUGUUUUUAAUUUAACCAACUUAUAAAAAAAUCAAUGCAUAGAGAUACUUUGGCCUUAUAGACCCAAUACAAAAAAGUCAAA
rnacentral:lncRNA from 1 species